rnacentral:rRNA from 1 species
CAAUAGCGUAUAUUAAAGUUGUUGCGGUUAAAAAGCUCGUAGUUGGAUUUCUGCUGAGAACGACCGGUCCGCCCUUUGGGUGUGUAUCUGGCUCUUUCUUGGCAUCUUCUUGGUGAACGUUGCUGCACUUGACUGUGUGGAGCGCUACCCAGGACUUUUACUUUGAGGAAAUUAGAGUGUUUCAAGCAGGCAUACGCCUUGAAUACAUUAGCAUGGAAUAAUAAGAUAGGACCUCGGUUCUAUUUUGUUGGUUUCUAGAGCUGAGGUAAUGAUUAAUAGGGAUAGUUGGGGGCAUUCGUAUUUAACUGUCAGAGGUGAAAUUCUUGGAUUUGUUAAAGACGGACUACUGCGAAANCANNNGUCAAGGAUGUCUCCAUNAA